UACAGAGGUCUCAAGCGUUGUUCGGAUUCAUUGGGCGUAAAGGGCGCGUAGGCGGCGAGGUAAGUCGGAUGUGAAAUCUCAGGGCUCAACCCUGAAACUGCAUUCGAUACUGCGUGGCUAGAGUGCUGGAGGGGAGACUGGAAUUUACGGUGUAGCAGUGAAAUGCGUAGAUAUCGUAAGGAAGACCAGUGGCGAAGGCGAGUCUCUGGACAGCAACUGACGCUGAGGCACGAAGGCCAGGGGAGCAAACGGG
rnacentral:rRNA from 1 species